AUGGAAUGCAUCACAUCACAGCUAAUCACAUCAAGGAUGAACUUGUCACCAAUAGCCCUCUACAUGGUCCAACUGUGCCAGAACGUAGAAUGGGUCCUGGUCUUUCCCUUACAUAUCAUAACAUAACAGUGUCCAACUGUGCCAGAAUGUAGAAUGGGUCCUGGUCUUUCCCUUACAUAGUGCCAGCGAACGUAGAAUGGGUCCCACUGGUCUUACAUUCCGUACCGU
rnacentral:lncRNA from 1 species